GACGAACGCUGGCGGCGUGCUUAACACAUGCAAGUCGAACGGAAAGGCCCUGCUUUUGUGGGGUGCUCGAGUGGCGAACGGGUGAGUAACACGUGAGUAACCUGCCCUUGACUUUGGGAUAACUUCAGGAAACUGGGGCUAAUACCGGAUAGGAGCUCCUGCUGCAUGGUGGGGGUUGGAAAGUUUCGGCGGUUGGGGAUGGACUCGCGGCUUAUCAGCUUGUUGGUGGGGUAGUGGCUUACCAAGGCUUUGACGGGUAGCCGGCCUGAGAGGGUGACCGGCCACAUUGGGACUGAGAUACGGCCCAGACUCCUACGGGAGGCAGCAGUGGGGAAUAUUGCACAAUGGGCGGAAGCCUGAUGCAGCAACGCCGCGUGCGGGAUGACAGCCUUCGGGUUGUAAACCGCUUUCGCCUGUGACGAAGCGUGAGUGACGGUAAUGGGUAAAGAAGCACCGGCUAACUACGUGCCAGCAGCCGCGGUGAUACGUAGGGUGCGAGCGUUGUCCGGAUUUAUUGGGCGUAAAGGGCUCGUAGGUGGUUGAUCGCGUCGGAAGUGUAAUCUUGGGGCUUAACCCUGAGCGUGCUUUCGAUACGGGUUGACUUGAGGAAGGUAGGGGAGAAUGGAAUUCCUGGUGGAGCGGUGGAAUGCGCAGAUAUCAGGAGGAACACCAGUGGCGAAGGCGGUUCUCUGGGCCUUUCCUGACGCUGAGGAGCGAAAGCGUGGGGAGCGAACAGGCUUAGAUACCCUGGUAGUCCACGCUGUAAACGGUGGGUACUAGGUGCGGGGUCCAUUCCACGGGUUCCGUGCCGUAGCUAACGCUUUAAGUACCCCGCCUGGGGAGUACGGCCGCAAGGCUAAAACUCAAAGGAAUUGACGGGGCCCCGCACAAGCGGCGGAGCAUGCGGAUUAAUUCGAUGCAACGCGUAGAACCUUACCUGGGUUUGACAUGGAUCGGGAGCGCUCAGAGAUGGGUGUGCCUCUUUUGGGGUCGGUUCACAGGUGGUGCAUGGCUGUCGUCAGCUCGUGUCGUGAGAUGUUGGGUUAAGUCCCGCAACGAGCGCAACCCUUGUUCACUGUUGCCAGCACGUUAUGGUGGGGACUCAGUGGAGACCGCCGGGGUCAACUCGGAGGAAGGUGGGGAUGACGUCAAGUCAUCAUGCCCCUUAUGUCCAGGGCUUCACGCAUGCUACAAUGGCUGGUACAGAGAGUGGCGAGCCUGUGAGGGUGAGCGAAUCUCGGAAAGCCGGUCUCAGUUCGGAUUGGGGUCUGCAACUCGACCUCAUGAAGUCGGAGUCGCUAGUAAUCGCAGAUCAGCAACGCUGCGGUGAAUACGUUCCCGGG
rnacentral:rRNA from 1 species